rnacentral:rRNA from 1 species
CACGUAUGCAACCUACCUUCUACAGGGGAAUAGCCCGGAGAAAUUCGGAUUAAUACCCCAUAACGCAGGGAUACCGCAUGGUAAUAUUUGCUAAAGAUUAAUCGGUAGAAGAUGGGCAUGCGUUCCAUUAGCCGGGGCGACACACGUGUUACAAUGGAUGGUACAGACCNSUCGCUACCUAGUGAUAGGAUGCCAAUCUCGAAAGCCAUUCCCAGUUCGGAUUGGAGUCUGCAACUCGACUCUAUGAAGCUGGAUUCGCUAGUAAUCGCACAUCAGCCAUGGCGCGGUGAAUACGUUCCCGGGCCUU